rnacentral:rRNA from 1 species
UACGGGGGGAGCAAGCGUUGUUCGGAUUUACUGGGCGUGAAGGGCGCGUAGGCGGCCUGUGCAAGUCAGUUGUGAAAUCUCCGAGCUUAACUCGGAACGGUCAACUGAUACUGCUCGGCUAGAGUGCGGAAGGGGCAACUGGAAUUCUUGGUGUAGCGGUGAAAUGCGUAGAUAUCAAGAGGAACACCUGCGGCGAAGGCGGGUUGCUGGGCCGACACUGACGCUGAUGCGCGAAAGCUAGGGGAGCGAACGGG